GAUGAACGCUGGCGGCGUGCCUAAUACAUGCAAGUCGAGCGAACGGACGAGAAGCUUGCUUCUCUGAUGUUAGCGGCGGACGGGUGAGUAACACGUGGAUAACCUACCUAUAAGACUGGGAUAACUUCGGGAAACCGGAGCUAAUACCGGAUAAUAUUUUGAACCGCAUGGUUCAAAAGUGAAAGACGGUCUUGCUGUCACUUAUAGAUGGAUCCGCGCUGCAUUAGCUAGUUGGUAAGGUAACGGCUUACCAAGGCAACGAUGCAUAGCCGACCUGAGAGGGUGAUCGGCCACACUGGAACUGAGACACGGUCCAGACUCCUACGGGAGGCAGCAGUAGGGAAUCUUCCGCAAUGGGCGAAAGCCUGACGGAGCAACGCCGCGUGAGUGAUGAAGGUCUUCGGAUCGUAAAACUCUGUUAUCAGGGAAGAACAUAUGUGUAAGUAACUGUGCACAUCUUGACGGUACCUAAUCAGAAAGCCACGGCUAACUACGUGCCAGCAGCCGCGGUAAUACGUAGGUGGCAAGCGUUAUCCGGAAUUAUUGGGCGUAAAGCGCGCGUAGGCGGUUUUUUAAGUCUGAUGUGAAAGCCCACGGCUCAACCGUGGAGGGUCAUUGGAAACUGGAAAACUUGAGUGCAGAAGAGGAAAGUGGAAUUCCAUGUGUAGCGGUGAAAUGCGCAGAGAUAUGGAGGAACACCAGUGGCGAAGGCGACUUUCUGGUCUGUAACUGACGCUGAUGUGCGAAAGCGUGGGGAUCAAACAGGAUUAGAUACCCUGGUAGUCCACGCCGUAAACGAUGAGUGCUAAGUGUUAGGGGGUUUCCGCCCCUUAGUGCUGCAGCUAACGCAUUAAGCACUCCGCCUGGGGAGUACGACCGCAAGGUUGAAACUCAAAGGAAUUGACGGGGACCCGCACAAGCGGUGGAGCAUGUGGUUUAAUUCGAAGCAACGCGAAGAACCUUACCAAAUCUUGACAUCCUUUGACAACUCUAGAGAUAGAGCUUUCCCCUUCGGGGGACAAAGUGACAGGUGGUGCAUGGUUGUCGUCAGCUCGUGUCGUGAGAUGUUGGGUUAAGUCCCGCAACGAGCGCAACCCUUAAGCUUAGUUGCCAUCAUUAAGUUGGGCACUCUAAGUUGACUGCCGGUGACAAACCGGAGGAAGGUGGGGAUGACGUCAAAUCAUCAUGCCCCUUAUGAUUUGGGCUACACACGUGCUGCAAUGGACAAUACAAAGGGCAGCGAAACCGCGAGGUCAAGCAAAUCCCAUAAAGUUGUUCUCAGUUCGGAUUGUAGUCUGCAACUCGACUACAUGAAGCUGGAAUCGCUAGUAAUCGUAGAUCAGCAUGCUACGGUGAAUACGUUCCCGGGUCU
rnacentral:rRNA from 1 species